CAGGCUCAGGACGAACGCUGGCGGCGUGCCUAAUACAUGCAAGUCGAACGCUUCUUUUUCCACCGGAGCUUGCUCCAUCGGAAAAAGAGGAGUGGCGAACGGGUGAGUAACACGUGGGUAACCUGCCCAUCAGAAGGGGAUAACACUUGGAAACAGGUGCUAAUACCGUAUAACAAUCGAAACCGCAUGGUUUUGAUUUGAAAGGCGCUUUCGGGUGUCGCUGAUGGAUGGACCCGCGGUGCAUUAGCUAGUUGGUGAGGUAACGGCUCACCAAGGCGACGAUGCAUAGCCGACCUGAGAGGGUGAUCGGCCACAUUGGGACUGAGACACGGCCCAAACUCCUACGGGAGGCAGCAGUAGGGAAUCUUCGGCAAUGGACGAAAGUCUGACCGAGCAACGCCGCGUGAGUGAAGAAGGUUUUCGGAUCGUAAAACUCUGUUGUUAGAGAAGAACAAGGAUGAGAGUAACUGUUCAUCCCUUGACGGUAUCUAACCAGAAAGCCACGGCUAACUACGUGCCAGCAGCCGCGGUAAUACGUAGGUGGCAAGCGUUGUCCGGAUUUAUUGGGCGUAAAGCGAGCGCAGGCGGUUUCUUAAGUCUGAUGUGAAAGCCCCCGGCUCAACCGGGGAGGGUCAUUGGAAACUGGGAGACUUGAGUGCAGAAGAGGAGAGUGGAAUUCCAUGUGUAGCGGUGAAAUGCGUAGAUAUAUGGAGGAACACCAGUGGCGAAGGCGGCUCUCUGGUCUGUAACUGACGCUGAGGCUCGAAAGCGUGGGGAGCAAACAGGAUUAGAUACCCUGGUAGUCCACGCCGUAAACGAUGAGUGCUAAGUGUUGGAGGGUUCCGCCCUUCAGUGCUGCAGCUAACGCAU
rnacentral:rRNA from 1 species